rnacentral:rRNA from 2 species
GAACUGAAGAGUUUGAUCAUGGCUCAGAUUGAACGCUGGCGGCAGGCCUAACACAUGCAAGUCGAGCGG